AGCAUGGUGGCUUAGUGGUUAGCACAUUUGCCUUGUACUAAAGGGGUUGGGGGUUUGAUUCCUGCCUCUGCUC